CCUACGGGUGGCAGCAGUGGGGAAUAUUGCACAAUGGGGGAAACCCUGAUGCAGCAACGCCGCGUGAGGGAAGACGGCUUUCGGAUUGUAAACUUCUAUCAAUAGGGAAGAAAGAAAUGACGGUACCCAAAUAAGGAGCCCCCGCUAAAUACGUGCCAGCAGCCGCGGUAAUACGUAGGGGGCAAGCGUUAUCCGGAAUUACUGGGUGUAAAGGGAGAGUAGGCGGCAAGGUAAGCGAGAUGUGAAAGCCUGAGGCUUAACCGGAGGAUUGCAUAAGGAACUAUCUAGCUAGAGUACAGGAGAGGAAAGCGGAAUUCCUGGUGUAGCGGUGAAAUGCGUAGAUAUUAGGAAGAACACCAGUGGCGAAGGCGGCUUUCUGGACUGAAACUGACGCUGAGGCUCGAAAGCGUGGGGAGCGAACAGGAUUAGAUACCCCUGUAGUC
rnacentral:rRNA from 1 species